ACAGGAGUGAAUCACUUAUGUGACGUACUGAAGGAUUCACGCUGUAAACUGGAGAGAUUGAGUCUUUAUCACUGUGGCAUUACAGAUGUUUCUUCUUUAACUCAGUCUUUGACAAACACAAAAGCUCUGCAGUUUCUAAAACAGCUUGAUCUGAGAUAUAAUAAGAUUGGAGACUCAAAGCAGAAGCUCAUUGAUGUGCUACGAGACUCAAACUGUGAACUGAGAGUAGAUAGAUAGAGAUUAAU